UAUUCUACUGUCUCAUCUGCUUUGGCAUCAGCGCUGAAUAGAUUUAAGACAUCUGCGCAUGUGUCUUCAGGUGCUGAAGAAAAACACCCUUCUCUGUACAUUGCCUAUUGGGCUGACACUUAAACAUUGCUCUGGGAUGUUGCAAACAGACCAAGCUAGAAAGGUACAAAAUGACUUUAUGUGCCUUAGUUGGAAUGUUGAUCUUAUUCUCUUAGACAAUCAACUUGUCUCUCUCUGCAUCCUAUUACACGCUGAGGACAGAAUAUUUGGAGGAUGUUGUACCUGCCCCCGAAACACUGCAACUCACUGAGUUGGAAAAUUGAGAAACUAUAAAGAAGAGAUUCUACCCUGCACUGUGGAUUCCCAGUGUUUUAUUUUGGAUGCCUUAUUCACCCAAGAGCAACAAGUUACGAAGGCAUCGAGAAAGCAUGGACAACAGCUGAGUCUUAUCACUGUGUGGCAGGGAUGGAUUUCUGGAAGACAUGCAAGAAGAGGCUACUGAUGAGAGUGCACCCCAGUUGCAACAAGUGGCUGCAUUUCUAAGGAAAAGUGACCCUUGCUCAUCCAGCAGUCAUCAGUACUAAUGGAACCCAGGAUUAUUUCCAAGAAGUGCAAAUAUGGCAUGUAUCCGAUUGCAGCAAACUGAUCCAGUAAAUAGAAGGUCUACAGCAAAUGAGUCAUAAAAGCGCU
rnacentral:sRNA from 1 species